GAGGGAAUAACUCAGUGGUAGAGUACAUGCCUAGCAUGCACCAUGCCCUGGGUUCAAUCCCCAGUACUUCCU
rnacentral:tRNA from 1 species